UUUUUGCUCUGUUUUUAUUUUUGGAGAGGAGCGCCCUGUAAUUGUCCUAAACACAUGCUUCUCUCUCCACCCCCCCCCUUCUUCCUCCAGCCACCAACGGAGGAGAGAGUCCCCCUUUUUUGCAUUUAUCUUUUCCUUCCCCUUUCUUUAUUAAAGGUCCGGGAGUGGCGGCGCCCAAUCAGCGCGCGGCUUCCAUUUUGUGAGUUCAACUCCGAGGCUCCCGGGCUUCGCGAGGACGCAUUUGCAGCCCCCUCUGCCUGUCCUCUCGGGCGGCCGAGGCGAAGGAGCCGCCUUUCUGGGGCUUCGUGGUGGUGUAUUUCAUAUUGGGGCUCUUUUCGGGGUUUGUAAUUUGGCCGUGGGUAGGUAAUUGGCUGGAGCAGGGCGGCAGGGCGCGGCAGCCAAUCAGCGCGCGGCUUCUAUAGGGCUUGAGUUAUUAGACGCUGAUCUCAAAACAUCGUUCAUCAGACACCAAGGAGAGGCCAACAGAUGAGGGGAGCCAUUUUUCUGCAAUGGAAUUAAAUGGCCAAGUGGGUUUUUCCUUUGUUGCAAAUGGGGAAUGCUUUUCCUUUGACUCCACCAUCCAGUUCAGGACGCCUCAGUGUUGUGUUUAACAUUUGUCAACAGGCUAAAGGACUCACAAUUGGAAGAAUGAAGAAGACUUUUUAAAAAGAUCUGGAUUUUUCCUUAUGACUUGGAAUCCAUCUUUGUCUUGUAUAACUAGGUCAUAGCACACCAUUAAUGUCAGCAGUUAACAAUUUUGAAUUCCAAAAAACCUAAGUAAAUGACAUAUUUAAUUUUUUUCCUCUUUUUUUUCUUGGGUGGGUGGGGGGAGCUUGGAGCUGUCUUAAUCUGUAUUCUCUUGACUGAACAAUAAAUUUUUAAAUAUAUAUAGUUUCCUCUAUUAAACACUUAAACCUGGCCAUCUUAUUAACUCCUUCUGCUCUCUUUUUAACAAGGUAAUGUUUUAAAUGUAUAGUUUUAGGACUAGCGAAAUGGCAGCAACAAAAAAUUGUAAGCAGUUGUUACUUUUAAGCUUUUAAAAAACCUUUUACGUUGUAAGUACCCAAUCCAUUCUGUCCUUACGCAGUGCAGUUUUCAUGUUAAUGUUGCUGAGAUGUCCUUAAUUUUCUGAACCUUCAUCUGCAUGUAUGUCUUUGUCGCUCUUGUCUAAUAUAAGCCAGUUAAAAUGCUUUUAGACGAUUUUGCUUUUAUAAAGCUAAGGUUUUUUAGCUUUAAGCUUUUGAAAAUGUUUAAAGCAAUAAAUGCUAGUCAGCUUUCUUCCCAGUAACAUGUACACGUUCUUUGAAAAUCGAUCUAUUUGAAGAAAAACAGCUCUGUUUUUCUCGUCUUGGUAGGGGGGUGGGUGAGGGAAAGGAAGACCUUCUCUUUGUGUACAGAGUCUAAAGCCGUCACAGGAAACUAGAUUAAAACUGGAAAACAAGUCCUAGCUGGUUGGAGCCAAACACCAACGUUAACUCGCGGGUAUUUUCUAUGGUGGUUGGGAUGGCCGUGCGUCUUUUGCCUUUUGUUUGAUUUGACUGUGUAUUUUCGCCUUUUGUCUCUUAAUGACGAUCACACCAUUGCUAUAUCCAGAGCAGUAAACAGUCCUCAGCGAAGCCGCCUUUUGCCAACCCAACCCUGGAAAGUUUGCAGAAGUGGAAGGAGCAGAAAAUGCCAUGAGAGUGUAACUUACAAAAAGGU
rnacentral:lncRNA from 1 species